rnacentral:rRNA from 1 species
UACGGAGGGGGCUAGCGUUGUUCGGAAUUACUGGGCGUAAAGCGCACGUAGGCGGCUUUGUAAGUUAGAGGUGAAAGCCCGGGGCUCAACUCCGGAAUUGCCUUUAAGACUGCAUCGCUAGAAUUGUGGAGAGGUAAGUGGAAUUCCGAGUGUAGAGGUGAAAUUCGUAGAUAUUCGGAAGAACACCAGUGGCGAAAGCGGCUCACUGGCCCGAUACUGACGCUGAGGCACGAAAGCGUGGGGAGCAAACAGG